UAAACUCUUGAUGACUUCUUGACCAAAAUAACAUGUAAAGAUCAUAGGGACAUGAUGUCUAAAGCCAUUGUAGACCAAUUCUUGAUUGAGCUCUUAGCCAUGAGGGUCUUAAACCCUAGAUAUGAGCUUGAUGGAUUAAAGGUGAUCAUGUGCCUUACCUACAAAAGAAGUAGAAAAAUGAAAAGACAUAUUUUUGGUAUUUUAGUUAGUAAAGAUGAUAAAAUACAAAGUAAGAUACAAUCACAU
rnacentral:lncRNA from 1 species